AAUCACCUAGUCCUUUCUCUCCUUAACCCUACUCCGCUCUUCUCAUUGAAACAAAUUACAAUCGCCUCUUCUCCAUACUGUACUCAUCUCACCCUCUCAUCCUAUGGAUUUUCCUUCUACAAAUUCAAGGUAUUCUAACAAAAAUGUAAUGCAGGAAAUAAUGAAGAAAAUGCUCCAAGAAGGAUGUGGUUCACGGGUCAUUAUAUGCUUCUAUUGAGAAAAUAAUGAAGAAAAUGCUCCAAGAAAGAUGUGCCUCACUGGUCAUCAUAUGCUUCUAUUUAGAUGGCCAGACGCAUUCAGCUGCCCCUUUCAUAAACUCUAGUUUUGCUAUCAGAUUCACAAAUCAUGCCGGCAAUCAUUCCCAGUGGCAGCUUCCAACAACACCCACUCGACCAUCCGCUUCUCUUUUUUACGAAUCUCACUAUGUUUCUAUCUCUCUCUUUAGAUCUCUCCGAGUCGGCUGUUGUAGCCUGAGUUGACUUCAUAUUUGAGCUUGAGUAGUUUACUUCAUAUUUGAGCUUAAGUUUGAAACAAUACCAUGCUAAAGCCUAUGCCGGGAUGUGAUUAGCAAGCAUAUGUUUGUGAUUUUGGCUUUAUUAAUUUUUUCAUUUUUUUGAUAAAAAAAUUUCGAUCCCAAAGGAAAGAACCAAACCGAAAUAAUUCGGUUCGGUUCCCGUUCGGUCCAUAUGAUAAUUUCGGUCCGGAAAAAUUUAGAAAUUCGGUUUUCAGUUCUUUCGGUUCGGUUCGGUCCCGGUUCGGUUCUGGACCGAACCGAACCGAAUGCUCAACCAUAUUUGUGAUGAUCAUGUGAAAAUAUGGAGAAGUUGAUAAAAUGAUUGUGAUUUGAACUAAGAGAGAAAAGAAUCAAAAUUGUAAAAUCUCAACAAUUAAAUUAUAAGAAUUUUGAUGAAUGAAUAAAACUGAAA